rnacentral:rRNA from 1 species
ACGUAGGGUGCGAGCGUUAAUCGGAAUUACUGGGCGUAAAGCGCACGUAGGCGGCUUUGUAAGUUAGAGGUGAAAGCCCAGGGCUUAACCCUGGAAUUGCCUUUAAGACUGCAUCGCUUGAAUCGUGGAGAGGUGAGUGGAAUUCCGAGUGUAGAGGUGAAAUUCGUAGAUAUUCGGAAGAACACCAGUGGCGAAGGCGACUCACUGGACACGUAUUGACGCUGAGGUGCGAAAGCGUGGGGAGCAAACAGGA